CCUACGGGAGGCAGCAGUGAGGAAUAUUGGUCAAUGGCCGCUAGCCUGAACCAGCCAAGUCGCGUGAAGGAUGACGGCCCUAUGGGUUGUAAACUUCUUUUAUAGGGGAAUAAAGUUAUGCACGUGUGGAUCUUUGCAUGUACCUUAUGAAUAAGCAUCGGCUAACUCCGUGCCAGCAGCCGCGGUAAUACGGAGGAUGCGAGCGUUAUCCGGAUUUAUUGGGUUUAAAGGGAGCGUAGGCUGGUUGUUAAGUCAGUGGUGAAAGUUUGUGGCUCAACCGUAAAAUUGCAGUUGAUACUGGCAGCCUUGAGUACAGUUGAGGUAGGCGGAAUGCGUGGUGUAGCGGUGAAAUGCAUAGAUAUCACGAAGAACUCCGAUUGCGAAGGCAGCUUACUAAACCGUAACUGACACUGAUGCACGAAAGCGUGGGGAUCAAACAGGAUUAGAUACCCCUGUAGUC
rnacentral:rRNA from 1 species